rnacentral:lncRNA from 1 species
CAUAACAAAAACCCUUAGAGAUGGUCAGCAAUCCACCUCUAGGUUUGAAACCUGCUAAUAUAUUAUCUACUAUUGUUAAGAAGCGCUAGCUAUGGCGGAGGAAGAGAGAAGAAUGAGAUUGAGAGAAGGAAAUGGAAGUUACUAUAUUCUACUGCAUGGAGCAACAAUACAACUGUUCCGAUCCACUAAUCUGCGUGUAUCUACUACUGUUUAUACACAAUCAGUUAUAACUAAUUCUACAACUAAGUACAAUAUAGUUAAAUAAUUGAGAUCUACAGCUCUCAACACUCCCCCUCAAGCUGAAUGAUGAAAUAUAUCUUUCAUCCCAGCUUGCUUAGUAAGUAGUUAUGAUGUGGUUUGCAUAGCGCUUUUGUUAGUACCACUGCUAUUUGUUUUAUUGUUCUAACAUGAUGUGUUUGAAUCAAGCCUUG